GACGAACGCUGGCGGCGUGCUUAACACAUGCAAGUCGAACGGAAAGGCCCUGCGUUUGUGGGGUGCUCGAGUGGCGAACGGGUGAGUAACACGUGAGUAACCUGCCCUUGACUUUGGGAUAACUUCAGGAAACUGGGGCUAAUACCGGAUAGGAGCUCCUGCUGCAUGGUGGGGGUUGGAAAGUUUCGGCGGUUGGGGAUGGACUCGCGGCUUAUCAGCUUGUUGGGGGGGUAGUGGCUUACCAAGGCUUUGACGGGUAGCCGGCCUGGGAGGGUGACCGGCCACCUUGGGACUGAGGUACGGCCCAGACUGCUACGGGAGGCAGCAGUGGGGAAUAUUACACAAUGGGCCGGAGCCUGAUGCAGCAGCGCCGCGUGCGGGAUGACGGCCUUCGGGUUGUAAACCGCUUUCGACUGUGACGAGGCGUGAGUGACGGUAAUGGGUAAAGAAGCACCGGCUAACUACGUG
rnacentral:rRNA from 1 species